AAUAGCCUGCUGUUUCUGAGCUUGUCACUAGCUACCUCAAGAGCUGCAAAGGACUCCUUGAGGGUUGAUACUUCUUCCUGAAGAGAACUCAUGAACAACAAUGACUCCAUUCGUUUAAAAGCAAAUGGGAUUUCAACCAAGAUUUUGAGGAAACGCUCAGCAGGGCCCAAUUGAGAAAGAUCACCCGUGAAUAACCUAAGCUUCAAUUCCUCUUCUGGUGUCAGUGUCAUCUUCAACAAAGUUUGGAGGAGCUCUGCUGGAAGUUCAGUACCAUCUCGCAAGGCAUCAAGGACUUCUUCUGCAGUCACAUUCAAUGCACGUAGAAGAAUUGAUAAAUUUUGUGCUUUCCUAGCUUCAAUGAUCUGUAUAUACUGGAUUGAAGGUGCAGAUGAAUUCUUUUUGCAAUCACUUUUGCCCUUAGCU
rnacentral:misc_RNA from 1 species